GAUCCCUCAGAGACGAUGAGGUAGAUAGGUCCGAGGUGGAAGCGUGGUGACACGUGGAGCUGACGGAUACUAAUCGAUCGAGGACUUAACUAAU
rnacentral:rRNA from 1 species